rnacentral:rRNA from 1 species
GCCACAAAGCUAGCUCAAACACAACAAAAAAAUUUAUACUAUAUAUUAUUAUAAACAAACCUAAACAAAAAAAUCAAAUCAUUUGACCCUCCCAGUACGGGCGACGGAAAAGAGUCUCCUGAAGCAAUAAAGAAAGUACCGCAAGGGAAAGCUGAAAAAGAAAUGAAAGAACCCGUAAAAGCAAAGAAAAGCAAAGAUUAAACCUUGUACCUUUUGCAUCAUGAUUCAGCAAGUAAACUCAAGCAAAGAGAACUCUAGUUUGAACCCCCGAAACUUGACGAGCUACUCCGGGACAGCUAAUUAUGAGCCAACCCGUCUCUGUGGCAAAAGAGUGGGAAGAUCCCUGAGUAGAGGCAAAAAACCUACCGAGCCAAGUUAUAGCUGGUUGCCCAAUAAAUGAAUAAAAGUUCAGCCCCACCCAGCCCAACUCGAAACAGUACAACUACCAAAGACAAAGAGCUUGCGUGGAGGUUAGUCAGAGGAGGAACAGCUCCCCUGAUCAAGGAUACAACCUUAGUAGGAGGCUAUAGAAUAUUAUUAGCAAGGCUUAAGGUUGCAGUGGGCCUGAAAGCAGCCACCUGACCAGAAAGCGUUAAAGCUCUAACCCCAUCAAAAGCCCAUUAUUUUAUUUUUUAAACUAACCCCCUACCCCCUCAUUGGGCCUCCCUAUGCCUCCGCCAUAGGAGAGAUCAUGCUGAAACGAGUAACAGGAAGAACGAACUUCUCCGAGCACAAGUGUACGUCAGAUUGGACUAACCACCGACAACUAACGAGCCCAAUAGAAGAGGGCCCUACAGAUCCGCCACCUUAAGCCAGGAAAAAUCUGUUGUACUUUUAUCGUUACCCCUACACAGGAGUGCUAGAACAAGGAAAGACUUAAAGAAGAAAAAGGAACUCGGCAAACCUAAACCCCGCCUGUUUACCAAAAACACCGCCUCUUGCUUAAUGAAAUAUAAGAGGUCCCACCUGCCCUGUGACUUUAAGUUUAACGGCCGCGGUAUCCUAACCGUGCGAAGGUAGCGCAAUCAAUUGCCUUUUAAAUGAAGGCCUGUAUGAAUGGUAAAACGAGGGUUUAACUGUCUCUUUUUUCCAGUCGGUUAAAUUGAUCUGUCCGUGCAGAAGCGGACAUUUUUUUACAAGACGAGAAGACCCUAUGGAGCUUUAGACACCAGCUAACUGUGAACUAGCGAAUGAAUAAUAAAUCUUCCCAUACACCCACAGACCCUGGUAAUGUGUCUUAGGUUGGGGCGACCACGGGAGAAAGAAAAGCUCCCGAGCAGAACAGGGUUUACCCUGGAACUAAGAACGACAGCUCUAAGUCACAAAAACUUUGACUGAAAUGAUCCGGCCUAACGGCCGAUUAACGGAACAAGUUACCCUAGGGAUAACAGCGCAAUCCCCUCCCAGAGUCCCUAUCGACGAGGGGGUUUACGACCUCGAUGUUGGAUCAGGACAUCCUAAUGGUGCAGCCGCUAUUAAGGGUUCGUUUGUUCAACGAUUAAAGUCCUACGUGAUCUGAGUUCAGACCGGAGCAAUCCAGGUCGGUUUCUAUCUGUAAAGCUACCUCUCCUAGUACGAAAGGACCGGAGUGGAGGGGCCCAGGCUCCCAGCAAGCCCCUUAUCCACUUGCUGAAAACAACUAAAGCAAGUAAGGAUAAGCAACCCAACAGCUCGAGAAAAGAGCUGUUAAAUUUAUUCGC